rnacentral:rRNA from 1 species
CACUUUGUCUUUAUGGCAAAUGUGAGAUGCAGUGUAUGGAAUGUCAAAUUUCUAGUAUGAGAAAUUAACGAUUUAAGUCCUUCUUAAAUGAGGCCAUUUACCCACAGAGGGUGCCAGGCCCGUAUAACGUUAAUGAUUACUAGAUGGCAUUUCCAAAGAGUCGUGUUGCUUGAUAGUGCAGCACUAAGUGGGUGGUAAACUCCAUCUAAAACUAAAUAUAACCAUGAGACCGAUAGUAAACAAGUACCGUGAGGGAAAGUUGAAAAGAACUCUGAAUAGAGAGUUAAAUAGUACGUGAAACUGCUUAGAGGUUAAGCCCGAUGAACCUGAAUAUCCAUUAUGGAAAAUUCAUCAUUAUGAUUUUAAUAUUUAUAAUAUUAUAAUAAUGGUGUGCAUUUUUUCUAUAACGGACAUUGUAAUCUAUUAACAUAAAUAUAUUUAUCAUAAGAUCAAUGAUGCGUAAGUUUAUUCAAAUUAUUUUGCUUGCAAUUUAACAUAGAAUAAAUGCUCUUGAUUUGAUAAAGUGUUGAUAGAUUUAUUGUAUAUAGUGCUUAAAUAUUUAUAUUUUAUAAUAGCAUAUUAAUCACUGAUUUUUAUGUUUAUUAUAUGCACUUAUAUGAUUAACAAUGCGAAAGAUUCAGGAUACCUUCGGGACCCGUCUUGAAACACGGACCAAGGAGUCUAACAUAUUUGCAAGUUAUUGGGCAUCAAAACCUAAUAGCGAAAUUAACAUAACUUUUAUGGGAUUAGUUUUUAGAUUAUUUAUAGUCUAUUAAUUAAAUCCCGGGGCGUUCUAUAUAGUUAUGUAUAAUAAUAUUUAUAUUAUUUAUACCUCUAACUGGAGCGUACCUUGAGCAUAUAUGCUGUGACCCGAAAGAUGGUGAACUAUACUUGAUCAGGUUGAAGUCAGGGGAAACCCUGAUGGAAGACCGAAACAGUUCUGACGUGCAAAUCGAUUGUCAGAAUUCA